UAGGAUGUGGUGUAAUAGGUAGCAUAGAGAUUUUUGAAUACUCAGGAGUAGGUUCAAUUCCCAUAGUCCUAG
rnacentral:tRNA from 1 species